GACGAACGCUGGCGGCGUGCUUAACACAUGCAAGUCGAACGGAAAGGCCCUGCUGUUGUUGGGUGCUCGAGUGACGAACGGGUGAGUAACAAGUGAGUAACCUUCCCUUUACUUUUGGAUAACUUCAGGAAACUGGGGCUAAUACCGGAUAGUAGCUCCGGCUGCAUGGUGGGGGUUGGAAAGUUUCGGCGGUUGGGGAUGGACUCGCGGCUUAUCAGCUUGUUGGUGGGGUAGUGGCUUACCAAGGCUUUGACGGGUAGCCGGCCUGAGAGGGUGACCGGCCACAUUGGGACUGAGAUACGGCCCAGACUCCUACGGGAGGCAGCAGUGGGGAAUAUUGCACAAUGGGCGGAAGCCUGAUGCAGCAACGCCGCGUGCGGGAUGACGGCCUUCGGGUUGUAAACCGCUUUCGCCUGUGACGAAGCGUGAGUGACGGUAAUGGGUAAAGAAGCACCGGCUAACUACGUG
rnacentral:rRNA from 1 species